rnacentral:rRNA from 1 species
UGCGCAGGCGGUUAUAUAAGACAGAUGUGAAAUCCCCGGGCUCAACCUGGGACCUGCAUUUGUGACUGUAUAGCUAGAGUACGGUAGAGGGGGAUGGAAUUCCGCGUGUAGCAGUGAAAUGCGUAGAUAUGCGGAGGAACACCGAUGGCGAAGGCAAUCCCCUGGACCUGUACUGACGCUCAUGCACGAAAGCGUGGGGAGCAAACA